rnacentral:rRNA from 1 species
GAGUUUGAUCGUGGCUCAGAACGAACGCUGGCGGCAGGCCUAACACAUGCAAGUCGAGCGCACUCUUCGGAGUGAGCGGCGGACGGGUUAGUAACGCGUGGGAAUGUACCCUUCUCUAAGGAAUAGCCCCGGGAAACUGGGAGUAAUACCUUAUACGCCCUUCGGGGAAGGAUUAUCGGAGAAGGAUCAGCCGCGUUAGAUUAGAUAGUUGGUGGGUAAGUGGCCUACCAAGUCUACGAUCUAUAGCUGGUUUAGUAGGAUGAUCAGCAACACUGGGACUGAGACACGGCCCACGACUCCUACGGGAGGCAGCAGUGGGAAGUCUUGGACAAUGGGCGCAAGCCUGAUCCAGCCAUGCCGCGUGAGU